GACGAACGCUGGCGGCGUGGAUUAGGCAUGCAAGUCGAACGGAUGUUUAGCUUUUUCGAACAUCAGUGGCGAAAGGGUGAGUAACACGUGGGAAACCUGCCCUUAGGUUCGGGAUAACCUGUCGAAAGAUGGGCUAAUACCGGAUAAGUUGCUCUCUUGAAAUAGAGGGCUGGAAAGAUGGGGACCCCUAACGGGGCCUGUCACCUUUGGAUGGGCCCGCGGCCUAUCAGCUAGUUGGUGAGGUAACGG
rnacentral:rRNA from 1 species